rnacentral:misc_RNA from 1 species
CCCUGAUAAUUGUGAGACAUUGAAAGUUCUUGGUCAUAUUUAUGUUCAGCUUGGGCAGACUGAGAAAUCUCUAGAACUUUUGAGGAAGGCUACAAAAAUUGAUCCACGUGAUGCUCAGGCGUUUCUCGACCUGGGUGAAUUGUUAAUUUCAUCUGAUGCAGGAGCUGCUCUUGAUGCCUUCAAAACUGCAUACAGUCUUCUGAAAAAGGGAGGUCAAGAAGUGCCAAUAGAAGUGCUUAAUAAUAUUGGAGUUA